rnacentral:rRNA from 1 species
AGAGUUUGAUCAUGGCUCAGAAUGAACGCUAGCGGCGUGCUUAACACAUGCAAGUCGUACGAGAACUCUUUAGCUUGCUAAAGAUAGUAAAGUGGCGCACGGGUGAGUAACGCGUGGGUAAUCUACCUCUGAAUUUGGGAUAACUCCGCGCAAAGCGGGGCUAAUACCGGAUAAUAUUUCAGGAUUUUCGGGUCUUGAAAUCAAAAGUGGCCUCUACAUGUAAGCUACUGUUUGGAGAUGAGCCCGCGUACCAUUAGCUUGCUGGUAGGGUACAAGGCCUACCAAGGCUACUAUGGUUAUUUGGUCUGAGAGGUAUGAUCACCCACCCUGGAACUGAUACACGGCCCACGACUCCUACGGGAGUGCAGCU